rnacentral:rRNA from 1 species
GAUGAACGCUGGCGGCGAGCCUAAUACAUGCAAGUCGAGCGAACGGACGAGAAGCUUGCUUCUCUGAUGUUAGCGGCGGACGGGUGAGUAACACGUGGAUAACCUACCUAUAAGACUGGGAUAACUUCGGGAAACCGGAGCUAAUACCGGAUAAUAUUUUGAACCGCAUGGUUCAAAAGUGAAAGACGGUCUUGCUGUCACUUAUAGAUGGAUCCGCGCUGCAUUAGCUAGUUGGUAAGGUAACGGCUUACCAAGGCAACGAUGCAUAGCCGACCUGAGAGGGUGAUCGGCCACACUGGAACUGAGACACGGUCCAGACUCCUACGGGAGGCAGCAGUAGGGAAUCUUCCGCAAUGGGCGAAAGCCUGACGGAGCAACGCCGCGUGAGUGAUGAAGGUCUUCGGAUCGUAAAACUCUGUUAUUAGGGAAGAACAUAUGUGUAAGUAACUGUGCACAUCUUGACGGUACCUAAUCAGAAAGCCACGGCUAACUACGUG